UGAUAGGUAAGUUUUGACUGAG
rnacentral:piRNA from 1 species